rnacentral:rRNA from 1 species
AGCAGCCGCGGUAAUUCCAGCUCCAAUAGCGUAUAUUAAAGUUGUUGCAGUUAAAAAGCUCGUAGUUGAAUUUCGGGGUUAGUAAGUUGGUCAUGCCUUCGGUAUGUACUGGCUUUACUGAUUCCUCCUUCUUGACGAACCGUGAUGUCAUUAAUUUGGUGUUGCGGGAAAUCAGGACUGUUACUUUGAAAAAAUUAGAGUGUUUAAAGCAGGCUAACGCUUGAAUACAUUAGCAUGGAAUAAUGAAAUAGGACGUUAAUCCUAUUUUGUUGGUUUCUAGGAUCGACGUAAUGAUUAAUAGGGAUAGUUGGGGGCAUUAGUAUUCAAUUGUCAGAGGUGAAAUUCUUGGAUUUAUUGAAGACUAACUACUGCGAAAGCAUUUGCCAAGGAUGUUUUCAUUAAUCAAGAACGAAAGUUAGGGGAUCGAAGACGAUCAGAUACCGUCGUAGUCUUAACCAUAAACUAUGCCGACUAGGGAUCGGAUGAUGUUAAUUUUUAAUGUACUCAUUCGGCGCCUUAC